GCUGGAAAACCCUACCCCUGCACCUCCUUCAGACCCUUCUGUCAAGCGAUACGCUCCUCCCAAUCAAAGGCUCGUCCUUUUCACUCUUUACCGAUUCAGCUCUUCACUGCAAAUUGGUGACCUUUUUUGUUUUACUUUUCAGGAAUCGGCCUCUCAAUAGGCGCAAAUCAGGAGGUCGAGCUUUUCUGAAAUGAUGGAUUUUUCUUUUACUGUUU
rnacentral:lncRNA from 1 species